AGCGCAGGCGGGAAGACAAGUUGGAAGUGAAAUCCAUGGGCUCAACCCAUGAACUGCUUUCAAAACUGUUUUUCUUGAGUAGUGCAGAGGUAGGCGGAAUUCCCGGUGUAGCGGUGGAAUGCGUAGAUAUCGGGAGGAACACCAGUGGCGAAGGCGGCCUACUGGGCACCAACUGACGCUGAGGCUCGAAAGUGUGGUAGCAAACA
rnacentral:rRNA from 1 species